AUAUUUUUAGGUUUGGUUUAUGGAAUUUUAACCGUUAUUUGCGAUUUCGCGGGGAUGGACUCUAUAUAUGCCGUUAUUGAUUGGAAGAAAAAGCCCGGGGCCACCGCACUUGUUUUGAUUCUUUCUUCUUUAAUACUCGCUCCUAUUCUCCAUGUUAUAACCUUUCUUCUUUUGCUACUCCGCUUAAAGCUUUCGAAAAUAUUACGGACUUAAUAGAGACAAAUGGCUGGAAUAUAAACGAGCUCCAAAAGUUAGUCAAGCAAACUCGGAAAAGAUUGAAG